AUCUUUGCGCAGUGGCAGUAUCAUAGCUAAUGAAGUUAUUCUGAGGCGUGAUUAUUGCUAGUUGAAAAUUUUUUCCACAGGACCCCUGCAUCAUUCAAUGCACAGGAGGGGCCUGCUCUGGAGAUGAAUCAGGGAUGUGUAGUAAAAGGAGGUUG
rnacentral:snRNA from 1 species